UCACCCAGAGGUUCACUCACAGCAUCCAGGCUAUCAGGGACUCCGUUCCUUCUCUAGUUGAGGAUGAGGGGUAUAGGGGACCUGUACAGGAACCACCCCCGAAGAAACGGAGGGCAAUGGGAGAAGAAACGCAACAGCAUCUGGCAAUAGAGGUAUGUGAUACCAUUAUGAGCCAUGCCAAGGAGAGGUUUUCUUUCACCAAGCAUCUCAUCAGCGCCACUCUCUUGCAAGGAGACUU